rnacentral:rRNA from 1 species
AAUCAAGCGCGAGAAGGGCGUUUGGUGAAUGCCUUGGCAGUAAGAGGCGAUGAAGGACGUGAUACUCUGCGAUAAGCUAUGGGGAGCCGAGAAUAGGCUUUGAUCCAUGGAUUUCCGAAUGGGGCAACCCACCUGACAGUUUUCCUAUUAUUACUUCGGUAAUUAAUAGGUGGCUGAACCAGGUAUUUUUAGGCUGAAUAUAUAGGCUUAAAAAAGCAAACCCGGGGAACUGAAACAUCUAAGUACCCGGAGGAAAGGACAGCAAUAGCGACUUCCCUAGUAGCGGCGAGCGAACGGGAACCAGCCGAGCCAUGAUUGUGAUCAGAAGGACCUGGAAAGGUCCGCCAUAGUGGGUGACAGCCCCGUAUGAGAAGCAUAAUUGGACGUAUCAAGUAGGGCGGAACACGUGAAAUUCUGUCUGAAGAUCGGAGGACCACCUUCGAAGGCUAAGUACUCCUUACUGACCGAUAGUGAACCAGUACCGUGAGGGAAAGGUGAAAAGCACCCCGACGAGGGGAGUGAAACAGUUCCUGAAACCGAACGCCUACAAGCAGUCGGAGGCUCCAUGCGAGCUGACGGCGUACCUUUUGUAUAAUGGGUCAUCGACUUGGUCUCACGAGCAAGCUUAAGCCGUUAGGUGUAGGCGCAGCGAAAGCGAGUCUUAAUAGGGCGAAUGAGUUCGUGGGAUCAGACCCGAAACCGAGUGAUCUAGGCAUGUCCAGGAUGAAGGUUAGGUAACACUAACUGGAGGUCCGAACCCACACCUGUUGAAAAAGGUCGGAUGAGGGUGCCUAGGGGUGAAAGGCCAAUCAAACUCGGAGAUAGCUGGUUCUCCGCGAAAUCUAUUUAGGUAGAGCGUCGACCGAAUACCACGGGGGGUAGAGCACUGGAUGGGUAAUGGGGCCUCACCGGCUUACCUGAUCCUAACCAAACUCCGAUAUACCCGUGAGUACUAGUCGGCAGACACACAGUGGAUGCUAACGUCCAUUGUGGAGAGGGAAACACACCCUGACCUCCAGCUAAGGCCCCUAAUUCAUGGCUAAGUGGGAAAGCAGGUGGGACGACCAAAACAACCAGGAGGUUGGCUUAGAAGCAGCCAUCCUUUAAAGAUAGCGUAACAGCUCACUGGUCUAAAUAAGUUGUCCUGCGGCGAAGAUGUAUCGGGGCUCAAGCCAUGAGCCGAAGCUGAGGAUGCACAUAGUGCAUGGUAGCGGAGCGUAGUGUGACUAAACCAAUCUCUCUUUAUCGCCUUUCGGGGUGAUCCGGAGAGAAGGGUUUUUCUGUGAAGCCGGGGCGUGAGCCAUCCGGUGGAGAGAUCACUAGUGAGAAUGAUGACAUGAGUAGCGACAAACAGGGUGAGAGACCCUGUCGCCGAAAGUCCAAGGGUUCCUGCUUAAAGUUAAUCUGAGCAGGGUAAGCCGACCCCUAAGGCGAGGCCGAAAGGCGUAGUCGAUGGGAACCAGGUUAAUAUUCCUGGGCCAGCCAGUAGUGACGGAUCGUGAAGGUUGUUCACCCUUAUUGGAUUGGGUGGGCCGCUAAUCGGUUCCUGGAAAUAGCUCUGGCAUAAGAUCGUACCCUAAACCGACACAGGUGGACUGGUAGAGAAUACCAAGGCGCUUGAGAGAACUAUGUUGAAGGAACUCGGCAAAAUACCUCCGUAAGUUCGCGAGAAGGAGGCCCAGUUUCUACGCAAGUAUUGACUGGGGGCACAAACCAGGGGGUGGCGACUGUUUACUAAAAACACAGGGCUCUGCGAAGUCGCAAGACGACGUAUAGGGUCUGACGCCUGCCCGGUGCCUGAAGGUUAAAAGGAGGAGUGCAAGCUCUGAAUUGAAGCCCAGGUAAACGGCGGCCGUAACUAUAACGGUCCUAAGGUAGCGAAAUUCCUUGUCGGGUAAGUUCCGACCUGCACGAAUGGCGUAACGACUUCCCCGCUGUCUCCAACAUAGACUCAGCGAAAUUGAAUUGCCUGUCAAGAUGCAGGCUUCCCGCGGUUAGACGGAAAGACCCCGUGCACCUUUACUACAGCUUCAGACUGGCAACAGGACUGGGAUGUGCAGAAUAGGUGGUAGGCUUUGAAGCAGGAACGCUAGUUUCUGUGGAGCCACCUUUGAGAUACCACCCUUCGCAUUCUUGUUGUCUAACCGCGGUCCGUUAUCCGGAUCCGGGACCCUCUGUGGCGGGUAGUUUGACUGGGGCGGUCGCCUCCUAAAGAGUAACGGAGGCGCGCGAAGGUUGGCUCAGAGCGGUCGGAAAUCGCUCGUUGAGUGCAAUGGCAGAAGCCAGCCUGACUGCGAGACUGACAAGUCGAGCAGAGUCGAAAGACGGCCAUAGUGAUCCGGUGGUCCCGAGUGGAAGGGCCAUCGCUCAACGGAUAAAAGGUACGCCGGGGAUAACAGGCUGAUGGUGCCCAAGAGUCCAUAUCGACGGCACCGUUUGGCACCUCGAUGUCGGCUCAUCUCAUCCUGGGGCUGGAGCAGGUCCCAAGGGUACGGCUGUUCGCCGUUUAAAGAGGUACGUGAGCUGGGUUUAGAACGUCGUGAGACAGUUCGGUCCCUAUCUGCCGUGGGUGUAGGAUAUUUGAGAAGAGUUGCCCCUAGUACGAGAGGACCGGGGUGAACGAUCCACUGGUGUACCAGUUGUUCCGCCAGGAGCAGUGCUGGGUAGCUAUGAUCGGAAAGGAUAACCGCUGAAGGCAUCUAAGCGGGAAGCCCCCUUCAAAACAAGAUAUCCCUGAGAACCGAGGUAGACCACCUCGUCGAUAGGCCAGAGAUGUAAGCGUGGUAACACGCUCAGUUGACUGGUACUAAUUGUUCGAUAGGCUUGAUUUG